rnacentral:lncRNA from 1 species
AGGCUCAGAUUCAUGUUGAGUGCAUGGAGAACAAACAUUCAAAUGUGAUAGCAAAAAGUGGUUCUCAUCAUGCAAGGAGGGAGAAUAAAAAACAGGCUCAUCAACAAUAUAAUCAUCAACAUACCUAUUAAUAACAUCAUCAUCAACAAUAGAAUCAAUCUUAGGUAUGUUUACCUCCACCUUAUUUAACUUCCAUCUUCAAUUCACUUUAAUACCCUGCAAAACAAUGUAAAAACAAGCAUAAUAUAUCUAAAACCAACUUUUGACUCUCUCAUGACUUAACUAAGUGUUUUACUUGAUUUUAAGCUCAUUCUAAGUCAUAAAGAGUGUGUUUUGAUAUUAAAUUUAAGUAUGAAAAUAACGGUUUUUAGACCGUUAUCAAUAAUGCCUAUCCAUCUUCUUCUAAUUAUCACUUAACUCAAAAACCCAAACGAUACUCUAAUUCCCUUCAAAGACUUCACAUUCUUUUAACUCGGAAAUUUUGACUUUCUAUACACGCUCCUUAAAUUUGUUCUAUAUCUUUCACAACUUCUUCUCAACUCUUCUUCUUCUACUUCGUUUCUUCUGACCUCUGACGUUACUGAUAUACUGAAUCACACUGAAUUCUCAAACCUUGCUACACCCAUGCUUAUCCAAAGCUUCUCUUAUUCUAGCCUUCGAAUCCAACUCUUCUUAUGGAAUGCACGGUAUUCGAUCUGCUGACUCUGUUCUUGAAAAUUCUUCACCCAAACAUUUUUUCUAAACUCCAAUAUGUAUUCACCCAUCCUUUGAAACCUAAAUUCUGGUAUUCUAACUCCUUGUCUUCGAGGCAAGAAUGUGUCUCAAAGGCUUAAACCAUUUCUAAAGAAGGUAUACAGAUCAAGUUCUCCUUGAAUCUGCAUUCCUCUACUACUCUAGAGCACAAUAUACCACC